rnacentral:tRNA from 1 species
GGGAGUUUAGCUCAGUGGUAGAGCUCCGCACUGAAGCUGCGACGGUCCGGGGUUCGAUCCCCCGAAGUCCCA